rnacentral:rRNA from 1 species
GACGAACGCUGGCGGCGUGCCUAAUACAUGCAAGUCGAGCGGACAACUGAGAGCUUGCUCUCAGUUGUUAGCGGCGGACGGGUGAGUAACACGUGGGUAACCUGCCUGUAAGAUUGGGAUAACUCCGGGAAACCGGAGCUAAUACCGGAUAACAUUUUGAACCGCAUGGUUCAAAAUUGAAAGAUGGCUUUUAGCUAUCACUUACAGAUGGACCCGCGCGCACUUAGCUAGUUGGUGAGGUAAUGGCUCACCAAGGCGACGAUGCGUAGCCGACUGAGAGGGUGAUCGGCCACACGUGGGACUGAGACGACGGCCAGACUCCGUACGGGAGCAGCAGUAGGGAAUCUUCCGCAA